CCUACGGGUGGCAGCAGUGAGGAAUAUUGGUCAAUGGACGCAAGUCUGAACCAGCCAUGCCGCGUGCAGGAAGACGGCUCUAUGAGUUGUAAACUGCUUUUGUACGAGGGUAAAUCCCGACACGUGUAUCUGGUUGAAAGUAUCGUACGAAUAAGGAUCGGCUAACUCCGUGCCAGCAGCCGCGGUAAUACGGAGGAUUCAAGCGUUAUCCGGAUUUAUUGGGUUUAAAGGGUGCGUAGGCGGUUCGAUAAGUGAGUGGUGAAAUCCCGGGGCUCAACUCCGGCACUGCCUCUGAUACUGUCGGGCUGGAGUUUAGUUGCGGUAGGCGGAAUGUAUGGUGUAGCGGUGAAAUGCAUAGAGAUCAUACAGAACACCGAUUGCGAAGGCAGCUUACCAAACUGCGACUGACGUUGAGGCACGAAAGCGUGGGGAGCAAACAGGAUUAGAUACCCCAGUAGUC
rnacentral:rRNA from 1 species